rfam:Triticum aestivum genome assembly, contig: Triticum_aestivum_CS42_TGACv1_scaffold_162449_2DL
UAUAUACUCCCUCCUUCCCUAAAUUCUUGUCUUAGAUUUGUCUAGAUACGGAUGUAUCUAACACUAAAAUGUAACUAGAUACAUCCGUAUUUAGACAAAUGUAAGACAAGAAUUUUGGGACGGAGGGAGUAUGUA